CAAAUGGAGUAUUUUAUUCACAUGUUAGUUAUCAUUUUAACACACACACAAACACUGACACACUCUGGUUUGCGUGGAACAAGGGUGGUCUAAAUAUCCUAAAAGAAAAUGAAAAAUUAAAGUACAUUAAUUUUUCAUUACUGUAGGCAAUUACGUCCACAUCACUUACAAAGCUAUUACUGAUAUUGUCCAAGGAAGCAGAGUGGUACAGAGGAAGGAAACUUGAGGGUAAAUUCAUCAGUGACAUAACAGAUCUCAACAUGAGAAAGCUGACAAAACAUGAAUUUUUGCUGUGAAAUUUCUCUUUGCAAAAUAUGAAGAAAAGUCAAUCAAUGGGCAGUAAAUAAGAGUAGGUGGUGAACUUUUGCUGUCAAUUCUCCUCACAGUAUCUUGCAGAGGCAUCAAGAAAAUUGCUUAGUCCUUCUCUGGGACCAAUUUCAGAACUUUUCCAAUUGCAAUGGUCUUACCCUCAUCUCUUAAAGUAAAACGACCCAUCUGAGGAAAAUCUUUGAACGUCUCGAGGCAGAUGGUUCCUGCUGUCCUUAAACGAGCAAUGCAUACUUGAUCUUGUUUCACGAAGCGGGGUCGUGUCUUACUUUUUUCUCCUGAUUUUUUGUCUACCAAGGAGAUUAACGCUGUUAUCUCAACUUCCUCAAUACAAGUAUGAAUGUGCAGCACCGCAUUAUAACCUGGGCAGAUGAUGGAUUUGUGCUCAAUAAUCACUAUCUGAACAUCAAACGUGCGUCCAGAAUGGCAGAGGUUACUAGGAUCACAAAGUAUGAAUCCUGGAAGAAUCUCUUCUUCUUCAAUUCCCUUCAGUCUGAUUUUGAGGUUUUCACCUGGGGCUACAAAAUCAGUUUCAGUAUCAUCAGAAAGUAUUCCAAGAACUUCUACAUUGUGCUUGUUUGGCAUCAUCACGAGCUGCUGGCCUUUAAAAAUGGACCCGGAUUCCAGCUUUCCCAGGACCACAGUGCCCAUAUCUUUGUACUUAUCCACAAUUGGCAGUCUUAUUGGUCCAUCAAUUGAUCUGUUGAAGUUUGGCAAGUUAUCCAAAUACGGAAUAAAUGGUAAUCCAGUGUACCAAGGGCAGAAAUCUGACUGCUCUUUAAUAUUUGCUCCGGUCAGUCCUGAGCAGGGCAUAAAGUGAAUGUCCUUUUUUGGACUGAAGCCUACUUUUUUCAAAAAGGGCACCAGUUUUUCUUUACAUUCUUCAUAUCUCUCGAUGCUCCAAUUUACUGUGGGAUCAUCCAUCUUAUUAAUAAGCACUAUUAAAUGUUUUACCCCUGCCGUUUUUGCCAACAUCGCAUGUUCUCUUGUCUGUCCACCUUUUUCAAAUCCAGUUUCAAACUCUCCUUUCCUGGCAGAGAUGACCAGCACAGCCAAAUCAGCUUGAGAAGCACCACCAAUCAUAUUUGGGACAAAACUCUUGUGGCCAGGGGCAUCUAAAAUUGUGAAAUGUUUCCUUUCUGUUUCAAAAUAGGCACGACCCACUUCGACUGUUUUACCCUUGUCUCGUUCCUCCUGAUUUGUAUCUAAGGCCCAGGACAAAUACCAGGUUUCUCUGUUUUUUUCCUUAGCUUCUCUUUCAUAUUUCUCCAGUGUUCUUUUGUUAGGUGCACCUGAGGGUACGAUCACAGAUUUGGAUUUUCUUAUUUCCUCUUUUUCCUCCAUCAUUUCCUGGCCACUUUCUUCUGGGGGCCCUGAAUCUCCCGAGGAACCACCCCCAGGCUCGGCUUCACUUACUUCUUUACUGUGCUCCCAUGAUUCUUCUAGGGCCAUUUCCACCUCUCCAUUUUCUACAACAGGUUCUGAAAGUUCCAUGGUAACGGCUGAAUUGGAACCUUCAAGCGACACUAACGGUUCCUCUCGGGAAGGUUCCACAGGUGCCCCCCGUCCCAUCCUUUUACCUUGAGGGUAUCCCGCGCCGGUGCAGGUUUCAUCGUUGCUGCCGGAGCCGGCCGGGAGGGUGGGCGGCUGAGUCGGGCCCCGCAGGAAGGACGGCACGAACUCCGCGGCGUGUACGUUAGGCACGAAGGGCUUGGCGUUGACGUUGAGCUUACGGCUGAAAGCCGAGCUGAGGGGCUCGCGCUGGGCCUCGGCCACCGCAGAGGAGACUCCAUCCCCGCUCGGGGCCGACCCCGGGGAUUCCAUGUCCACCUGGUCCCAGCAAUCGGGCGCCGAGUCGCUGCUGCUGCUGCCCGAAUCCAUGGUCUCGGAACUUGCUGUGUGGCAGUGAGGGAGCGGGCUCAACAGGCCAGAAGAGCGGGCUCCGCCGGCGGGGUUAAGGCAGCAAGAGCGAAGGGCCAAGGGGUAGCGACACGAACCUUAGCUGCACCGCGGAGGCAGCUAAGCGCCGAUGCUGCAUUCGCAACUGCGGCGGCAGCAGCAGAUAUGGCGGCUCAACACUCUCCUCUU
rnacentral:lncRNA from 1 species